UACGGAGGAUGCGAGCGUUAUCCGGAUUUAUUGGGUUUAAAGGGUGCGUAGGCGGUCCGUUAAGUCAGCGGUAAAAUUGCGGGGCUCAACCCCGUCGAGCCGUUGAAACUGGCAGACUUGAGUUGGCGAGAAGUACGCGGAAUGCGCGGUGUAGCGGUGAAAUGCAUAGAUAUCGCGCAGAACUCCGAUUGCGAAGGCAGCUUACAAAUCUAUAUCGGACGCUGAGGCACGAAAGCGUGGGGAGCAAACAGG
rnacentral:rRNA from 1 species